AACGAACGCUGACGGCAGGCUUAACACAUGCAAGUCGAGCGCCCCGCAAGGGGAGCGGCAGACGGGUGAGUAACGCGAGGGAAUCUACCCAUCUCUACGGAAUAACGCAUGGAAACGUGUGCUAAUACCGUAUACGUCCUUCGGGAGAAAGAUUUAUCGGAGAUGGAUGAGCCCGCGUUGGAUUAGCUUGUUGGUGGGGUAAAGGCCUACCAAGGCGACGAUCCAUAGCUGGUCUGAGAGGAUGAUCAGCCACACUGGGACUGAGACACGGCCCAGACUCCUACGGGAGGCAGCAGUGGGGAAUAUUGGACAAUGGGCGCAAGCCUGAUCCAGCCAUGCCGCGUGAGUGAUGAAGGCCCUAGGGUUGUAAAGCUCUUUCACCGGUGAAGAUAAUGACGGUAACCGGAGAAGAAGCCCCGGCUAACUUCGUGCCAGCCGCCGCCGUAACAC
rnacentral:rRNA from 1 species